GAUGAACUGAGGGUAGCGGAGAAAUUCCAAUCGAACCUGGAGAUAGCUGGUUCUCUCCGAAAUAGCUUUAGGGCUAGCCUCAAGUGAUGAUUAUUGGAGGUAGAGCACUGUUUGGACGAGGGGCCCCUCUCGGGUUACCGAAUUCAGACAAACUCCGAAUGCCAAUUAAUUUAACUUGGGAGUCAGAACAUGGGUGAUAAGGUCCGUGUUCGAAAGGGAAACAGCCCAGACCACCAGCUAAGGUCCCAAAAUAUAUGUUAAGUGGAAAAGGAUGUGGCGUUGCCCAGACAACUAGGAUGUUGGCUUAGAAGCAGCCAUCAUUUAAAGAGUGCGUAAUAGCUCACUAGUCGAGUGACACUGCGCCGAAAAUGUACCGGGGCUAAACAUAUUACCGAAGCUGUGGAUUGUCCUUUGGACAAUGGUAGGAGAGCGUUCUAAGGGCGUUGAAGCAUGAUCGUAAGGACAUGUGGAGCGCUUAGAAGUGAGAAUGCCGGUGUGAGUAGCGAAAGACGGGUGAGAAUCCCGUCCACCGAUUGACUAAGGUUUCCAGAGGAAGGCUCGUCCGCUCUGGGUUAGUCGGGUCCUAAGCUGAGGCCGACAGGCGUAGGCGAUGGAUAACAGGUUGAUAUUCCUGUACCACCUAUAAUCGUUUUAAUCGAUGGGGGGACGCAGUAGGAUAGGCGAAGCGUGCGAUUGGAUUGCACGUCUAA
rnacentral:rRNA from 1 species